rnacentral:sRNA from 1 species
GAAAUAUCAGGAGUGGCAUCUUGGCAUUCCACCACCAGUACUCCCAGACAAGAACAUUGGCGGCAUUCAGAAUAAU